UUCGCAAUGCCCGAAAGGGUGACGAAGCGACGCCGCGUGUGGGGAGAAGGCCUUCGGGUUGUAAACCGCUGUUGGGAGUUAGGAAGUGUGGGAAUGUUAAUAGCGCUUCCACUUGACUAAAGCUCCAGAGGAAGCCACGGCUAACUCUGUGCCAGCAGCCGCGGUAAUACAGAGGCGGCAAGCGUUGUUCGGAAUUAUUGGGCGUAAAGAGCACGUAGGCGGCUGUGUAAGUCGGUUGUGAAAGCCUUCCGCUUAACGGAAGAACAGCGACCGAUACUGCAUAGCUAGAGUGCGGGAGGGGAGAGUGGAACUUCUGGUGGAGCGGUGAAAUGCGUAGAUAUCAGAAGGAACGCCGGCGGCGAAAGCGGCUCUCUGGACCGUAACUGACGCUGAGUGUGCGAAAGCUAGGGGAGCAAACGGGAUUAGAUACCCCGGUAGUCCUAGCCGUAAACGAUGGGCACUAAGUAGAGGGGUUUU
rnacentral:rRNA from 1 species